CCUACGGGUGGCAGCAGUGAGGAAUAUUGGGCAAUGGAGGCAACUCUGACCCAGCCAUGCCGCGUGAGUGAAGAAGGUUUUCGGAUUGUAAAGCUCUUUCGGAUGUGACGAGGAUGACGGUAGCAUCUAAAGAAGCCCCGGCGAACUUCGUGCCAGCAGCCGCGGUAAGACGAAGGGGGCAAGCGUUGUUCGGAAUUACGGGGCGUAAAGGGAGUGUAGGCGGUUUUGGAAGAUCGUGGUGAAAUCCCAGGGCUUAACUUUGGAAUUGCCAUUAUAACUAUUAGACUAGAAUUACAGAGAGGUUAGUUGAAUCCCCUGUGUAGAGGUUAACUUCGUAGAUCUUGGGUAGAACACCAGUGGCGAAGGCGACUCUCUGGCUGUACAUUGACGCUGAGGCUCGACAGCCUGGGGAUCAAACAGGAUUAGAUACCCCUGUAGUC
rnacentral:rRNA from 1 species